ensembl:lncRNA
AAAAAAAUGAAAUAGGUUAUUUAGAGCUGCUCAUCCGCCCCCAGCAGUGGGGUCUUGCACACAGCUUGCUCUGCACUGGACUUUGCCCACAGAGAGUUUUAGCCAGGGAACCUGUUAAUUUUAAACCAAAAGUGUGCACUUCUGCACAAGCAGAUCUGGACCUCUUUUUGGGCAGAAGCUUUUCUCCUGCUCUUGUCUUGCACAGCUCGGGAAAGAGGAAAGGUUCCCAUUGCUAAGCCAGGUCCAGGCCAGUUUUGACUCUUUAGGGGGAAUGAAUUUUCUCACUGUGCAACAUCCAGAGGAAAACAUGCUGAGAAAAUGACCAGAAGUGGGAGUGCAGCAAGAUACCAGCAUCAAAUUUUGCAAGGUCUCAUGGAUGAAUAAUAAACCACUGCAUCACUUCCACAUGCUGUGUUCUGUGGUCUUCAGGAGGAAAUGACCCUUAUCCUUUCCCAAACCAACAGUUAACACACCUUUGUUGAUACGUGUCAUACUUCUGAGGCUCAGAUAUUCCCAUCAUGAUUUAUGACUGAAGAGAAAUGCUGUCCAGGUGAUGAUCCAGUCCAUUAUCUCGACGGAGGUGCUGACCACUGUAGGGAAGCACAGAGAGCUGAUGUACAACAUGAUGGAGAACAAGCAGAAGAAAGGGGGCUUCCAGGUUACAACUGAAAAAAGCAUAAUUCAUAUGAUUUGCAAUAAUUGGAUGCAAAAGAAAAAAAAAAGAAAAACAGAAAACUUUAUCCUAUUGCUCCUCCCCCGAGCUGCCGGAGCUCAGGGAGCGUUGGGAUACCACUCUUAGAUGUAGGGUGUGGGUUUGGGUGUUCCUAUCUGGAGCUGAGUGUUGGGCUUGGUGAUCCUUGUGGGUCCCUUUCAACUCGGGAUAUUCUACAAUUCUGUAAAGAUUACCCAUGUUAAAUACAUGUUUCAGAGGGUAAAGCUCCCCUGUCUCAAUACCACCCUCGGUUGGUCUAGAAUGCUCUAUUUUUUCCUUCCAGUUUUGUGUUUUACUAUUCAUAAAUCAAGAUUUCUUUCCCCUGCUUGGCACCUUCCCAGUCCUUGCAGAUCAUUAAUACCAAAACAGGGCUGUUAAUCUCUCGGUCCCAAGGUGCAUUACCCCACUUGUAGAUGGAGGGACUGGGAUACAGAUGGGCCUGUGCCCAGAGCCACUGAGCAUGGGGAUGUACCCCAGGGCCACGUUCACUCCCAGAACAGUUCCCCAUGGGGUGCCUGGUGGUCCUGCACUGAUAGCAUCGUGUUUUGAAGUGGUUUGGGGAGUGGACCAUGGGAUAAAGCUGGGCACAGGGUUUUCUGUCUGCAGUGAGCUCUGUGCUCUACAGCAGUUUUGCUGCCUGUUCAGCAGUACGUUUGCAAUAGCAUAUGUCCUUCCCUGAUUGUACUGAACCCUCAUUCCCAUUGCUUGUACUUCUCAUCCUAUUCAACCCUUUCAACUCCAGCAGUAUGUAAAAGAGGCUAGCUUUAUUUUUCAGGUCUCUUCCUAUCAGAGAAGGUCAGGGACAAAGCUUGGCAAUGAAAGGCAAUUUCUCCAAACCAGUGGGCAAGCAGUGUGGUAAGAAUGCUUUUAAACAACAACAACAAAAAAUCCAAUAACUUCCCUAUAAAUUGUCCAAGAGAGAAAACUUUGUGUUUUUGGCAUUUGUAGCUGUUUCAGCAUUUUUCUGUGUAAGAUGAAAAACUUUUGCAUUGAGCAAAACACAGAUUUAUGAUCAAUAAAGUGAAGUUUUAACAGUUUAUAGGAGCCAUACAUUCUUUUUUUUUUUUUUUUUAAACUGAUAUUAAAAACUAUCUUUUCCUCUCAGCCAUGUUAGAAAUCCACCCCAGUGUCAGUCAGGGUUUCAGCACAGCAAACUUUGCAGAGAAAUUGCUGGCUGGGGUUUACUGCAGGACCAGUGGCCACACAAGCCACCCCUCCCUCCCCCUCAUGGGCUUGUGAAAUAAAGCUCCAGUAAGACCUGAGUAUGGAAUUUAGGGUGUGAGCUUGGACUUGCCCAGUGUUUAGAAGCUUUGGGAGCUGGAGGCUUCUGCAGGUCGUUCUCUGGACCAUACAGAUAAUAACUGUCCAACAAGGCUCUGCAGUUCUUACUGUAGCAGGAGCUACAGGCUGAGAGCAAGCAGCUGCCAGAAAAACCUCUGAUUUGCACAAGUGACUUUGGAAUGGCUGGUGGAUAUAUGAACCUUUAUUGGCACAACCUUGGUUGGGCUGUGAGCAGCCAGGGAGUCCCAGGGUAAUUUUAUCUCUCUCAAUUCUUAUGUGCAGGGGCACUGUGCGGUCAAAUCUUCUAGUUCUGGUGUUCCCCCCCUUACCUUUGCCUCACGCCUGGUAGUUGUCUCUGAAGACACUGAUUUCUACACCGACAAGUGUGCCAGUGAUACUAAACAUGCUCAAAACAGAAACAACUCUUUUGUUCCAAACAGGCCACUGCACUGAUUGUUUUAUAACUCCUAUAAGAAAAUCAUGUCAACAGAUCAUCUGAUAAAAGUUAUUUGGCCUUAGAUUUUCUACUAGCUUAGACCUAAGAUGUGAUUUGAGUAUGAAAUUACUGAGUAUAGGACUGUUUUCACUGCCAUUAAGACCAACAAGAAAUCUCCCUUGAUUAGAUUUAUUAUAAGCCAGGGAGCUGAGGAGAGCUUGUAACUCUUCUUUUGUAAUCCCACGGCCCUGGUUAUGCAGUCUCUGGGCUUUCUGCACAUUACAGCACAUGGAACUGCCUGAAUUGUUCUUAUCUCUUCAGCAUGUUCUUCUUUGUUAAGGCCUAUCUCAAUGCAAGAUCUACAGUAAAAAAUAGGAAAGUGUCCAUUACAAGGCAGGGAUUUGGCUUUUUCUCUCCAGAGCACGUGAUGAAGGCAAUAAAUUUGUCAAGGAGAUAAGCUGGACUCAACCCACCGAGAUCAGUGCCAGUCGGGUCCCCUUCAUCCCAUGAUGUGCCAGGAAAUUUAUUACCCGCUGUGAGAUUUAACUGCACAAAUCCCUGGUGAAUUGAUAGGAGAGGAGAACCUUGCUGAGGUUUAUAGGGGGGUCUUAAACCCUUAAAUGUUGGUGGCAGUGGCAUCCCCAUAAAGCCCUGCCAGCGGUAAUUUACAGACGAGGAGAUCGACUGUGUUUCCUCUGUGGAAAAAGGGGUUGAAAUAACUGGGGCUCUCCAAGCUGAGUCGCAGCGCUGGAGAAGGUCCACAGGGUGCCGCAGCUUCUGCAGAGCAUGCAGCUUCCACUUGAUUAAAUAAACCUGGGUCUCAGUAGAUCUGAAAAGUGGUUUUCAGAGAGUUCUGGCUAAGAGCUUGCAAGUUUUUCCAUUUCUUUUGAAGAGAAAUUUGCACUCAGAAAAUGAAAGAAUCUACAAAGUGAUAUUUUCUGAAGCAAACACUGACAUUAUGAGCAACUUAAGCACUUUCAUUGCAUCUCUGCACUAAACUGCGGCUCCCGACCGACAAAACCGUCUCUUGCUAAAAGCAACUGUUAUAAAAUUAUGACUAGCGCAUAUAUAACGUUUGUGUUUAACAAGAUGACAGAAAUGCCACCUUAGUAAAAACUGAUUAUGGUUACAGCUGAACAAUUCACAUCAUGCAAGAUUUAUAAUAUUAAGGUUAUGCAAUCAUCUAAUCGGAGAGACAAGCCUUGAGUAAUAAUAUGAAAUGCAUGUACUUCAAUCUGCAGCAGUAGAUUCAUUGCUGGUUUCUUAUUAGCUCAUGCUAGCAUUAGGGCUGCAUUAUCCAUUUUGCCAUAGUCUAAUUCAGCAUUUCCAUCUGAAAACAUAUGCACAAUAAGUGAUCUAUGCCAAACAAUGAAAUGGAAGCAAAGUCAUUUGAGUGACUUUGUGGCUAUAAAAAUAUACAUAAUCUGUAUGUCUUUUGGCAGUUCUCAAUACUUUGUGCUACAUUUAUUUGCAUGGAAAGUUUUCCCAAAAUAAAUAAAAACAGAUAGAAAUUGCCCUCUUUUCUCUUGAGCAUAAUGUUUUGGGGCUGGAGCAGUGCAAGAAUGCAUCUCACCCGCUUCUCAUCCGGCAGGUAUGAGUCAGGUGUUCUUAUUAGAUGAUGAUUAGUGUUAUACAAGCUAUCUAGAAGUCACAGUAACUUAAGAUGGCAUAGAGUGACUUAAAGUGUGCAUCUUUCAAUAUUGCUGAUUUUUAAAAUCAAAGAGAAUUUCAGUAUAUGUAUGUCAAGAAACAUAUCGGUUAAUUAUUGUACAGAGAAGUCAUAGUGUAACUUCUGGUUAAAAAUAUGCGAUUUCAGGGGCUGAGAAGUUCAAGCAUUGCUUUUCAAAGGCACAUGUUACAAAAGAUGACAAGUGUUUAUAAUGUAAUGAUCAAACUAAUUGACCGAGAGUCAGAUUAAAACAAGACUUUUCAUGCAAAGUGCAGACUGAACUUUCCCCUUAACUGCUCACAGUGGGCUGAGUCCAUUUUCUGCAGCCUGUGCAGGCUUAGGUCCUGCAAGACACGGGUGCCUUGGGGCAUCAUGCGGCACUGGGAGGACUAAGGACCUUGCAGGACUGAAACCUGCAAGUUGCUGAGGCUUCUUUACAAUGUCUUUUGCUCCCAGAUUCAGACAAGGUCCAAACAGGAUGGACUUCCUCUAAGCCCUUCCCACUGCAGGGAAGCACGUAUGCUGCAGGCUUGGAAAUGAGAGCAAGCAAUAAAACAAACAAAGCCCAGGUGUUCUAUUUGGUCCUAGCGUUCAACUGCAGGAAAAGCUGUUGUCUGUGGGCUGUCAGGAGCUGUACCGAGGUGUCCCCAGACUUCUGGAGAUAAAGGAGGACUUGGAAAUACCUGGCUUUUUUUCAUGGUAUUGCAACAGGGAGGAACAAAGUGCAAAUAAUUUGGCGUAAGGCCCAUGGAAGUCAUGCAAGAUGCGCCAUGGAGGAGGAUUCCCCUGUUCAGCUGCCUCGCUAGGACCCAACCUGCAGGUGUGGGCACAGAAGAGCAGAGCAGCGAUGGAAGGAGCAGGAAGACCUUGGGCCAUUAAUAACCAGACCGUGAGGGUUCUUGAAGGGUGUGCAAUGAAUUCAGAACUGGCAUUUCCCAAGCCUGUCUCUGCCCUGUGGGUGAUCCUGGAACAAACAUACACCUACACCUAUAACUGUGCCUGCAUCUACACCUAUACCUACACUUAUACCUACACCUGUACCUACACCUAUAGCAAUACCUCCACCAACAUCUGCAUGCCUCAUUUUUUUUCCCAUUCCCUCCAGGGCUGUCCAUUUGAUCGCAUUGCUAACUCACAUGCUCUGCCUGCAGGGUGAAUCUCUGCAGUCUGAAAAACAAGAUGAGGCCAGAGGCCAAGCUGCAGGGUGAUAUUUUGGGAUGGCUGUGGUGAAGCCCCGCAGGCACAGUGCCCAUCUGUAAGCAAAUACUUUCAGGCUAGAUUCCGGGGGAGCCCAUGUGAUGUCUGCAGGCAGCUCAAUACCCCACAUCCACCCCGCUGAGCUCUGUUGGCAGAGGCUGGACACUUGCAAAGAUGUGUUUUUGCCAGUGUAACUUAUGAUGCCUUCCUUGCUGGAGGUCAGCAUUUGUAAGGAGAUGAUUCAGAAGUAAGUCCCAAAGCAACUACUAAAGAUCUGUUAAUGACAAUGGAAAAACUGGGAGAUAAAGAGAUGUGUAUGAGCUGGUUUUUUGUUUUUUUUUUUUUUUCCCUGCAGUGGUACUAUCCAGAGAGAACUUUCUCCCUCCAUAAACAUUUAUCUUGCACUCAAGGCCCACUGGCCUUCAGCAGAGCUGCACUGACCGCCGCCAGCUCCAGACUUGGAGCACACUCAGCAGCUUCGCGCUGCUUGGGUAUUCACAUGCACCAAGCAACUAUCAAACUUCCAGUUUACAGCUGCCUUGUGACUGAAUAUCAGCCUUUCUUUUUUUUUUUUAUCCUGCAUGAAGUCACGUUUCUGCCUUUUAAAUGGGAAGUCACUUCUGCAAACUCUGUUCUUGCUCCAUUCAUGCAAAGGAACCAAGAGGGAAGGAAAAGAAGAUGCGGCCGCUUCGAAACAAAGCAGAACAAAUUAAAGCUCCCAUGUGGCUGUGGUGCAGAUUCCUGCUGUCCUCCUACACAGGCUGCCUGCCCUUGACGGAUGGAUUUUAUUUGUCUGUCUAUAUUGUGGGUGCUUUUUCAGAAGGGCGAAGGGAAGCAAGCUACAAAAAGAAGUGCUGUCGCUGGGAAGUUAGUUAUUAACCGCCGGGCGCCUCCCUGACAUGACGGAGGUGCUGCAGCCUCUCUGAAGUUUGCAUGUCUUUACGGAAGGAUGUCAUGAUGUGACAGACACAGGGAUUUAAGACAGAUCUUUUCCUGCCUAGGGUCCCCUCUGCUUCUGCAGUGUUUACAUGGGAUCGCUGAGCUAUAUUGAGCUUUCAGUACCAAAUGCAUCAGUACUGUCCACGUGCAUCGCCCGUCAAGGAAGAUUAAGUUUGCUCUGCACAGCAGCACAGAAAUACUCCCAGGGCAAAGCAGGACGGCCCCAGCAAAGAUCUUUCUUUUACUUUCCCCACUCUUCUCAUUAAAGCUGUAGGUGGCUGAUGGAAAUAGCUUACCUAGCAAGGAGACAAAUGGCCAAGAGCUGAUGCGCUGCAGGAAUUCACCCCGUUGUGGUUCUGGAUAGAGCAGAGAUGUGGCAGCACUUUGCAAGUGCUUAAUCCACUUUGUUGAAUCAGAAUUAGAUUUAACACAUAGUCAAUCAGGAAUAUAAUUCCCAUUAUUUUGUACUGCAUCUGACCCUGAAGGCAUAAGCAAAACAUCCCAUCUGAGCCCAGAUCCACAGAAGGGUUUUGCGUCACUGGGGGGAAAGCUGGGAUCCCCAUCUCGUGUAGGAGUUGGACUUGGUGGUCCUUCUGGGUCCCUCCCAACCCGGGAUAUGCUCUGACUCUAUCAUCUUGCUGUGGACCCGUCCCACAGUGUCACUGCUGCCCUGCCCACGCUGGGGCACGCAGCCCUCAGGAGCAUCAGGUUCAGGGUGCUGGAAUGCAGAGACACUGCUACUGACAUCCACGUGUCCUCGGUGGGCUCAGGUGAGGAGAAGGCCCUCAGUGUAAAGCUGUGUUACUGCACACCGCUCUGAGGAGCUGAAGAACAGUGAUGUUUUUCUCAGGGCGAGCUCCAUUAUCUGAAGUAAUCUAAUCAGAGCACGUUAAUGAAACUAGGCCUAAAAGACUAACCAAUAAUCAAUACCACAGUGUGUUAAUAUUGUGUACCACAGACCUAACACACCUAUUUUCCAUGCUUUAUUUCAUUUUUCUGUGCUGUUUUCUCUCCUUAUGCAGAACAGCCAGGAAGGAACUAGCAUCUCCUCCAAACUCCAGCAACAUUGGAAAGGUCCCUUUUUGGUAAUAUUUCAGUGAUGAUUCACUAUGAGUAGCCAUAUAAAAAAUUAACACAUGGCAUUUCAGAACAGAGCUAAAAAAAAUAAGGAGACCUGAGUUCAGGGACUGAGCUGUGCUGAGCUGCUGCUCCCACCAUCAGUGCAUUUCCUUCUGUGAGCAGCCCACGAGAGAAGCAGUGUUUUGAAGGGAAGGACGAGCACUUUGCACCAGCAGGAUGUGCAGAGGGAGUGGAGGAGGCAGGGAGACUUUGCUGUUUGAUGCCCGUAAUCCCGUUAUCUGUAGAGGCAUCACAAGAUGGGAGUGGAAGAGAAUGGGAGCAGAUGAAAAGACUUUAUUUUCUUUAUGCCCUUCCUGGAAGGCUAAACCCAUCUUUUUUUUUUCUAUGUCAUUGUGCUUACACAGAGAGCAUGGAUUCCAUGACAGCGAUGACAAGCUCAGAUACAUCAAUCAUGCAGCAGAGAUGGGCACACAAAACUUUGCUCCUCAUCUGAUGACCCGCAGGCACCAGGACCACUAAUCAAAGAAUCCAAAUCAUGCUUUGCCUGUAGUCUGCAUCUGAAAUUCAUUCUUCUAGAGUAAUUUCAUACUUCAGAAGAGUUCCAGUGUUCAAUGUGGGAAGCGUGGGGCAUCUUGGUCCUCAUAGCUGUCUUUGUACUUAAUCAGAGGGAAGAGCUUUUCCUCUACUCCACAUUUACUCUUCACCUCAAGCAGAAGUUCCUCAGCCACAAUUGCAAGCUGGUGAAUUGCACUUGAAAAGGCAAAGAAAACCUAUAUUGCUACAUAUAUAUCUUCAACCCACCACUCCUGGUGCACCUAAAGCUAUAACAGAAAGCUCCCUGUAGGAUGAUGCCAACCAAUAUCAGUGCACUCAGCUCAGUGUGUUGAGUUCUGGAUAAAAACAGAAAUAAUGGAACAAGCCUCCUUGCUUCAGUCACAUAGAAUCAACCCCCCCAAAAAAGCUACCACCAAACUUGACUCAUUUUUUUAAAGAAAAAGGCAAUUUUUCACAUUUUAAUAGCUUUCAUUCCAUGUCUUAAUAAAUGCAUGUUUGUUGAUUUGUGUAAGCAUGAUGUAGGAUUCUGCAAAUGAAUGUAAUCUGCAACAAGGGGAUAGCUAACCACUAGCUAACACUUUUGAAUAAUGAAUCCCUACUGUAUCAGAUGGACGCUAUUCAUAAUAAUUCCUUGCUUUUCUCAUUUUGUCGUGUACAGUAGCGAUUAAUCAAUUUGCAGUGUUAUGUCACCCGCAACAAAUUGCUAGCACCAAGACAAAUUUAUUGCUUUAUGAUAAAAGAACUUGUUUAGGUAGAAAUAAAUUAAAUUUGGGGGUUGUUAUUUGAGUUUGAUGUUUACAUAUAUGACCCAUGCCACACGGGCUGGCGGAGCUAAGGGUAUGCAAUUAUUACUCCAGUGUUCUGAGGAUAGUUCAAAGAGAUGCAGAAGCUAAUGGCAUGUUUGUACAGCUAACUAGUCCUUGAGGACACCAAGUCCCCCUGGGAGCUUUCUGUAACCUGG